UGUGUUUGAAUACUUGGUUCCCACUGGUGGC
rnacentral:piRNA from 1 species